GAUGAACGCUGGCGGCGUGCCUAAUACAUGCAAGUCGAGCGAACGGAUGGUGAGCUUGCUCCUCUGACGGUAGCGGCGGGCGGGUGAGUAACACGUAGAUAACCUACCUAUAAUACUUGGAUAAUAUCGGGAAGCCAGUGCUAAUACCGGAGAAUAUAUUGAACGGCUGGGUUCAAUAGUUAAAGGCGGUUUUGCUGUCACAUUUAGAUGGUGCCGCAUUAGCUAGUUGGGGUGGUAAAGGCAUACCAAGGCAACGAUACGUAGCUGAUCUGAGAGGAUGAUCGGCCACACUGGAACUGAGACACGGUCCAGACUCCUACGGGAGGCAGCAGUAGGGAAUAUUGGACAAUGGGCGAAAGCCUGACGCAGCAACGCCGCGUGAGUGAAGAAGGUCUUCGGAUCGUAAAGCUCUGUUAUUAGGGAAGAACAACUGUGUAAGUAACUAUGGACGUCUUGACGGUACCUAAAGAGAAAGCAACGGCUAACUACGUG
rnacentral:rRNA from 1 species